GGGUCUCAUUACUAACCACGUGGUAGUACUCUUAGACACAGCGUGGGACUUUCAUGUUGCUGUCGGCCAAAGAGCUACCAUCAAAGGACCUCAUCCGGCAACCAUCUAGAAUUCCUUGUGGCUACAAGUUUAAACCCCCCCAGCUAGCUCCGAUCAACGUUGAAGCAGUGAAGCAACACCGACUCCUCCGGACUCCCUUUGACAGAAGCUUAUCUUCUUUUUUUUACUUUUUCAGACAACCUGGAACGCUGUGCUUAAUUAGUUUGACAAAAAAAAAUAAACAGCAGCAGAAGUGUAGUGUUCAUUAUGUUUGCCGUUUGCUGCAGCAGCUGGGCUUGGUUUGAAGCUCGUCACAACACCUGACACAUCACAAGCAAAUGAAUGCCAAGGGUUGCUUUACUCUCCUCGUGGCUCUGCAAACAUGCUAGAGUGGCAAAGGCAGCGUGUGUGUAAUUAGCAGCUGAAAGGGGUUUUUCAGUCGUCCCGUCUUUACAGGACGAAUCAGUGCAGUGAAAAUUUGAUGUGUUCUUUGAAUAUGAUGUGAAAUGAAGCAGCAGAGCUGUCCUGGUGGUGGGAAGGAAAUAAAUGUGUCUGCAUACGUAUGUAUAUGUAUGAAUAUAUAUAUAAGAGCUCAGCAUAAAUGAGUACACCCUCUUUGAAAAGUACCAAUUUAAUCAGUAGCUCAAUGAAUGAAAGAACAAUUUCCAAACUUCCUACAAGGAUGAGUUUUGUUGAAAACUUUGUCAACUCCAAAACAUGAAAGUAUCGUGUAUCUCAUAGAAAAUGUAAAAAUAUGAAAAAUGUAGAGGGGUGUAUUCGUAUGCUGAGAAUAUAUAUAUAUAAUAUAUAUAUAUAUAUAUAUAUAUAUAUAUAUAUAUAUAUAUAUCUGCAAUACUGGAGUUAUAGGGACCAGAGGCAUCCGUAAAAAUGCAGAAUCCGCGAAUACGGAGAUCACCCCACGUCAGCGGCGGAAAGGUGUCUGUUACCAUUCCAUACUUACCAAAAACACUUCACGCAAAAAAAA
rnacentral:lncRNA from 1 species